AAAGCAAGUUAUCUGGGAUAUUUAAGGAUUACUUUAUGACAAAAAUAAAAGUUAAUUGAUAUGCUAUCGAGGGUACUAAGGUAACAGAUCCUUUUGGUGGUAAUGAAAUGGCAAAGACUAAAGAAGUUAUGAAUAGUGAAACGUUUAAAAUAAGAGUCAGACGGCAUAAAAACAGUGAAAUAAUGAUAUUAAAGGUAAAAUAAAGGGUUCGAAAGAUUUGACAGGGUUUCAUGCGGAUUUGGAACCAAAGAUUCAAUCGGAAUGAAUGGAGGGGACAUUUGGGAUAUUUUAAAGCUGCUUUUGACCGCAGGAAAACUUAUUAGUUGUGUUUUCCGAGCCACUAGGAUCAUUUUCG
rnacentral:misc_RNA from 1 species